GAGCUCGUAGGUGGUUUGUCGCGUUGUUCGUGAAAUCUCACGGCUUAACUGUGAGCGUGCGGGCGAUACGGGCAGACUAGAGUACCGCAGGGGAGACUGGAAUUCCUGGUGUAGCGGUGGAAUGCGCAGAUAUCAGGAGGAACACCGGUGGCGAAGGCGGGUCUCUGGGCAGUAACUGACGCUGAGGAGCGAAAGCGUGGGGAGCGAACAGGAUUAGAUACCCUGGUAGUCCACGCCAUAAACGGUGGGUACUAGGUGUGGGUUUCCUUCCUUGGGAUCCGUGCCGUAGCUAACGCAUUAAGUACCCCGCCUGGGGAGUACGGCCGCAAGGCUAAAACUCAAAGGAAUCGACGGGGGCCCGCACAAGCGGCGGAGCAUGUGGAUUAAUUCGAUGCAACGCGAAGAACCUUACCUGGGUUUGACAUGCACAGGACGCGUCUAGAGAUAGGCGUUCCCUUGCGGCCUGUGUGCAGGUGGUGCAUGGCUGUCGUCAGCUCGUGUCGUGAGAUGUUGGGUUAAGUCCCGCAACGAGCGCAACCCUUGUCUCAUGUUGCCAGCGGGUAAUGCCGGGGACUCGUGAGAGACUGCCGGGGUCAACUCGGAGGAAGGUGGGGAUGACGUCAAGUCAUCAUGCCCCUUAUGUCCAGGGCUUCACACAUGCUACAAUGGCCGGUACAAAGGGCUGCGAUGCCGUAAGGUUAAGCGAAUCCUUUUAAAGCCGGUCUCAGUUCGGAUUGGGGUCUGCAACUCGACCCCAUGAAGUCGGAGUCGCUAGUAAUCGCAGAUCAGCAACGCU
rnacentral:rRNA from 1 species